rnacentral:rRNA from 1 species
AGUGAACGCUGGCGGUAGGCCUAACACAUGCAAGUCGAACGGCAGCACAGUAAGAGCUUGCUCGUACGGGUGGCGAGUGGCGGACGGGUGUGGAAUACAUCGGAAUUUACUUUUUCGUGGGGGAUAACGUAGGGAAACUUACGCUAAUACCGCAUACUACCUACGGGUGAAAGCAGGGGAUCUUCGGACCUUGCGCGAUUGAAUGAGCCGAUGUCGGAUUAGCUAGUUGGCGGGGUAAAGGCCCACCAAGGCGACGAUCCGUAGCUGGUCUGAGAGGAUGAUCAGCCACACUGGAACUGGGACACGGUCCAGACUCCUACGGGAGGCAGCAGUGGGGAAUAGUGGACAAUGGUCGCAAGCCUGAUCCAGCCAUACCGAGUGGGUGAAGAAGGCCUUGGGGUUGGAAAGCCCUUUUGUUGGGAAAGAAAAGCAGCAGGUUAAUACGCCGCUGUUCUGACGGUACCCAAAGAAUAAGCACCGGCUAACUUCGUG